rnacentral:rRNA from 1 species
UGAGGAAUAUUGGUCAAUGGGCGGAAGCCUGAACCAGCCAUGCCGCGUGCAGGAAGACGGCCCUAUGGGUUGUAAACUGCUUUUCCGGGGGAAGAAUAAUCCCGACGAGUCGGGAGAUGCCGGUACCCCGGGAAUAAGGAUCGGCUAACUCCGUGCCAGCAGCCGCGGUAAUACGGAGGAUCCGAGCGUUAUCCGGAUUUACUGGGUUUAAAGGGUGCGUAGGCGGGCGCUUAAGUCAGCGGUGAAAGGCGGCGGCUCAACCGUCGGAAUGCCGUUGAUACUGGGCGCCUUGGAUGCGGUCGAGGCGGGUGGAAUGCGCGGUGUAGCGGUGAAAUGCUUAGAUAUCGCGCAGAACGCCGAUUGCGAAGGCAGCUCGCCGGGCCGUGAUUGACGCUGAGGCACGACAGCGUGGGGAUCGAACAGG